AACGAACGCUGGCGGCAUGCCUAACACAUGCAAGUCGAACGAGACCUUCGGGUGUAGUGGCGCACGGGUGCGUAACGCGUGGGAACCUUCCCUUAGGUUCGGAAUAACUCCCCGAAAGGGGUGCUAAUACCGGAUAAUGUCUUCGGACCAAAGAUUUAUCGCCUUUGGAUGGGCCCGCGUUGGAUUAGCUAGUUGGUAGGGUAAAAGCCUACCAAGGCGACGAUCCAUAGCUGGUCUGAGAGGAUGAUCAGCCACACUGGGACUGAGACACGGCCCAGACUCCUACGGGAGGCAGCAGUGGGGAAUAUUGGACGAUGGGCGAAAGCCUGAUCCAGCAAUGCCGCGUGAGUGAUGAAGGCCUUAGGGUUGUAAAGCUCUUUUACCCGGGAUGAUAAUGACAGUACCGGGAGAAUAAGCGCCGGCUAACUCCGUG
rnacentral:rRNA from 1 species